ACUUCGAACGCCCUGUUUUAGACAGGGAUUUAACUGAAUUAGACAUUCCCUAUAGUUGCCAAGUCAUGUCUGCUUCGUUUUUACCAUAAAUAUAUUCAUGUUUGGUUUAAAGAGGAUAUUAAUUAAACUAAAAUUCAAGUCAAUGUUGACAUUAGACCGAUAUUUUGAAAUUUGAACACAACACGCCCUUGAACAUAACACGACACUGGACAGCAACACUCCCAUUACAGUGCUACCCCCCGGGAAACGAAUUAUGUGAUCCCAGGUAUCCCC